AUUCGAAUAGUUUAAUAAAAAUGUUGGCUUGUGGAGCCGGAGAUGUAGCUUUAAUACUUUGAAUU